rnacentral:rRNA from 1 species
GAUGAACGCUAGCGGCAGGCCUAAUACAUGCAAGUCGAACGGGUGGUCGCAAGACCCCUCGUGGCGCACGGGUGCGUAACGCGUAACCAACCUGCCCCGAUCUGGGGGAUAGCCCGCCGAAAGGCGGAUUAAUACCGCAUAUACCCGCAGCCUGGCAUCAGGCAACGGGGAAAGAUUUAUUGGAUCGGGAUGGGGUUGCGUGACAUUAGCUAGUUGGCGGGGUAAGGGCCCACCAAGGCGACGAUGUCUAGGGGACCUGAGAGGGUGAACCCCCACACUGGCACUGAGAAACGGGCCAGAAGCCUACGGGAGGCAGCAGUAGGGAAUAUAGGGCAAAGGGCGAGAGCCUGACCCAGCCAUGCCGCGUGCCGGAUGAAGGCCUUCUGGGGUGUAAACGGCUUUUCUCAGGGAAGAAAAAGACCUUGCGAGGUACACUGACGGUACCUGAGGAAUAAGCACCGGCUAACUCCGUG